UACAGAGGUGGCAAGCGUUGUUCGGAAUUACUGGGCGUAAAGGGCGCGUAGGCGGCCAUCUAAGUCAGACGUGAAAUCCCCCGGCUUAACCUGGGAACUGCGUCUGAUACUGGACGGCUCGAGUUUGGGAGAGGGAUGCAGAAUUCCAGGUGUAGCGGUGAAAUGCGUAGAUAUCUGGAGGAAUACCGGUGGCGAAGGCGGCAUCCUGGACUAACACUGACGCUGAGGCGCGAAAGCUAGGGGAGCAAACAGG
rnacentral:rRNA from 1 species